rnacentral:rRNA from 1 species
AUUGAACGCUGGCGGCAUGCUUUACACAUGCAAGUCGGACGGCAGCAUAAAAGAGCUUGCUCUUUUGAUGGCGAGUGGCGAACGGGUGAGUAAUGCAUCGGAACGUACCGAGUAGUGGGGGAUAACUGUCCGAAAGGAUGGCUAAUACCGCAUAUUCUCUGAGGAGGAAAGCAGGGGACCUUAGGGCCUUGCGCUAUUUGAGCGGCCGAUGUCUGAUUAGCUAGUUGGUGGGGUAAGAGCCCACCAAGGCGACGAUCAGUAGCGGGUCUGAGAGGAUGAUCCGCCACACUGGGACUGAGACACGGCCCAGACUCCUACGGGAGGCAGCAGUGGGGAAUUUUGGACAAUGGGCGCAAGCCUGAUCCAGCCAUGCCGCGUGUAUGAAGAAGGCCUUCGGGUUGUAAAGUACUUUUGUCAGGGAAGAAAAGCCUGAGGAUAACACCCUCAGGUCAUGACGGUACCUGAAGAAUAAGCACCGGCUAACUACGUGCCGGCAGCCGCGGUAAUACGUAGGGUGCGAGCGUUAAUCGGAAUUACUGGGCGUAAAGCGAGCGCAGACGGUUAUUUAAGCAAGAUGUGAAAGCCCCGGGCUCAACCUGGGAACUGCGUUUUGAACUGGGUAACUAGAGUGUGUCAGAGGGGGGUAGAAUUCCACGUGUAGCAGUGAAAUGCGUAGAGAUGUGGAGGAAUACCGAUGGCGAAGGCAGCCCCCUGGGAUAACACUGACGUUCAUGCUCGAAAGCGUGGGUAGCAAACAGG